rnacentral:rRNA from 1 species
UACGUAGGGUGCGAGCGUUAAUCGGAAUUACUGGGCGUAAAGCGUGCGCAGGCGGUUUGUUAAGACAGGUGUGAAAUCCCCGGGCUUAACCUGGGAAUGGCGCUUGUUACUGGCAGGCUAGAGUGUGUCAGAGGGGGGUAGAAUUCCACGUGUAGCAGUGAAAUGCGUAGAGAUGUGGAGGAAUACCGAUGGCGAAGGCAGCCUCCUGGGACAACACUGACGCUCAUGCACGAAAGCGUGGGGAGCAAACAGG